AUUUAACUCUUCAUAAACGUGCUCAGACAUGGACAGACAUGAACAGACAUGGAUAGGUCUAAUCAGGUCUGGGCGUAUUUAACGCUUCAGACAUGAACAGGCAUGGACAGGUCUGAUCAGGUCUGAGCGUAUUUAAUGCUCCAGACAUGAGCAGGCAU